UUUCCGUAGGUGAACCUGCGGAAGGAUCAUUAGUGAAUUGAAUAAGUUAGCGAACCUCUUCGGGGUCCCUAGCAUCAAACCCUAUCCAAAACACCUUUGAACUGGAAGGCUGUCUUGAAAACGAAGGUGAUUAAACCGCCUGCCCAUUUUAUCCAAUCAUUAAAGUAAAAAACGUAGUCUUCUUAUCAUUUAAUAAUACUUUCAACAACGGAUCUCUUGGCUCUC
rnacentral:misc_RNA from 1 species